rnacentral:rRNA from 1 species
UACGGAGGGUGCGAGCGUUGUUCGGAAUUACUGGGCGUAAAGCGCGUGUAGGCGGCUUCUUAAGUCUGGUGUGAAAGCCCGGGGCUCACCCCCGGAAGUGCACUGGAAACUGGGAAGCUAGAGUACCGGAGAGGAGGGUGGAAUUCCUGGUGUAGCGGUGAAAUGCGUAGAUAUCAGGAGGAACACCGGUGGCGAAGGCGGCCCUCUGGACGGAUACUGACGCUGAGACGCGAAAGCGUGGGGAGCAAACAGG